rfam:Mycobacterium avium subsp. paratuberculosis str. k10, complete genome.
CUUGAUCGACCCCAACCACAACGGCUGGCCACGAUCCUGACCGUAAGUCGCCAACAACGCCUGCGCCUC